rnacentral:rRNA from 1 species
ACGCCUAACACAUGCAAGUCGAACGCAGUAGCAAUACUGAGUGGCAAACGGGUGAGUAUAAUGUGGGAAUCUACCUUUUGGUUCGGAAUAACACGGGGAAACUUGUGCUAAUACCGGAUAAGCCUUCACAGGGAAAGUUUUAAUGCCAAAAGAUGAGCCCGCACUUGAUUAGCUAGUUGGUGAGGUAAUUGCUCACCAAGGCAACGAUCAAUAGCUGUUCUUAGAGGAAGACCAGCCACAUUGGGACUGAGACACGGCCCAGACUCCUACGGGAGGCAGCAGUGGGGAAUCUUGCACAAUGGGGGAAACCCUGAUGCAGCGAUGCCGCGUGAGUGAAGAAGGCCUUUGGGUUGUAAAACUCUUUCGUCGGGGAAGAAAAUGACUGUACCCGAAUAAGAAGGUCCGGCUAACUUCGUGCCAGCAGCCGCGGUAAUACGAAGGGACCUAGCGUAGUUCGGAAUUACUGGGCUUAAAGAGCUCGUAGGUGGUUAAAAAAGUUGAUUGUGAAAUCCCAAGGCUUAACCUUGGAACUGCAAUCAAAACUUUUUAGCUAGAGUGUGAUAGAGGAAAGUGGAAUUUCUAGUGUAGAGGUGAAAUUCGUAGAUAUUAGAAAGAACACCAAAUGCGAAGGCAACUUUCUGGAUCAUUACUGACACUGAGGAGCGAAAGCAUGGGUAGCGAAGAGGAUUAGAUACCCUCGUAGUCCAUGCUGUAAACGAUGUGUGCUAGACGUUGGAGGCAUAGCUUUCAGUGUCGCAGCGAAAGCAUUAAGCACACCGCCUGGGGAGUACGACCGCAA